AUUGAACGCUGGCGGCAUGCCUUACACAUGCAAGUCGAACGGCAGCGCGGGAGCAAUCCUGGCGGCGAGUGGCGAACGGGUGAGUAAUAUAUCGGAACGCGCCCAGUAGUGGGGGAUAGCCCGGCGAAAGCCGGAUUAAUACCGCAUACGACCUACGGGUGAAAGGGGGGGAUCGCAAGACCUCUCGCUAUUGGAGCGGCCGAUAUCAGAUUAGGUAGUUGGUGGGGUAAAGGCCUACCAAGCCUGCGAUCUGUAGUUGGUCUGAGAGGACGACCAGCCACACUGGGACUGAGACACGGCCCAGACUCCUACGGGAGGCAGCAGUGGGGAAUUUUGGACAAUGGGCGCAAGCCUGAUCCAGCAAUGCCGCGUGCAGGAAGAAGGCCUUCGGGUUGUAAACUGCUUUUGUCAGGGAAGAAAUCCUCUGGGUUAAUACCUCGGGGGGAUGACGGUACCUGAAGAAUAAGCACCGGCUAACUACGUGCCAGCAGCCGCAGUAAAAC
rnacentral:rRNA from 1 species